rnacentral:rRNA from 1 species
AACGAACGCUGGCGGCAGGCUUAACACAUGCAAGUCGAACGCCCCGCCAGGGGAGUGGCCGACGGGUGAGUACCGCGUGGGAACAUACCCUUUUCUACGGAAUAGCUCUGGGAAACUGGAAUUAAUACCGUAUACGCCCUACGGGGGAAAGAUUUAUCGGGGAAGGAUUGGCCCGCGUUGGAUUAGCUAGUUGGUGGGGUAAAGGCCUACCAAGGCGACGAUCCAUAGCUGGUCUGAGAGGAUGAUCAGCCACAUUGGGACUGAGACACGGCCCAAACUCCUACGGGAGGCAGCAGUGGGGAAUAUUGGACAAUGGGCGCAAGCCUGAUCCAGCCAUGCCGCGUGAGUGAUGAAGGCCUUAGGGUUGUAAAGCUCUUUCACCGAUGAAGAUAAUGACGGUAGUCGGAGAAGAAGCCCCGGCUAACUUCGUG